rnacentral:misc_RNA from 1 species
GCUGAACUUGAUUGGCAGGCUGGAGCUAUUUCAUUGUUCAUCUGAGGAGCUUCGUUAUUGAUCAAUGAGUACGGUCAAUUGAAGUUGUAAAACUACUGAUGUUCAGAAGCAGCAAUGUUGUUGCCAGGAUUUUUGAGCGCCAAGUUCGUACUCCUUCUCCUGGCACUAGUGUUCAUUGUGCUAGGCAAUUCUAUGAGAAUUUAUUCCCA